rnacentral:tRNA from 1 species
GGGCUGUUAGCUCAGUUGGCAGAGCAGCUAGCUGCCUAUACCAGCAGAAGUGCGUAGGUUCAAGCCUAUACAGCCCA